rnacentral:rRNA from 1 species
GACGAACGCUGGCGGCGUGCUUGACACAUGCAAGUCGAACGGAAAGGCCUGCUUUCCCUUGUGGAUUGCGGGUACUCGAGUGGCGAACGGGUGAGUAACACGUGAGUGAUCUGCCCCCAACUUGGGUAUAAGCCUGGGAAACUGGGUCUAAUUCCCGAUAGGACUGCAGGGUGGUGCCUGUGGUGGAAAACGAUUUUCUAGUGGUUGGGGAUGAGCUCGCGGCCUAUCAGCUUGUUGGUGGGGUAAUGGCCUACCAAGGCGGCGACGGUUAGCCGGCCUGAGAGGGUGGACGGCCACAUUGGGACUGAGAUACGGCCCAGACUCCUACGGGAGGCAGCAGUGGGGAAUAUUGCACAAUGGGCGGAAGCCUGAUGCAGCGACGCCGCGUGGGGGAUGACGGCCUUCGGGUUGUAAACUCCUUUCGACCGCGAGGAAGCCACCUGGUUGGAAGGGUGGUGACGGUAGUGGUAGAAGAAGCACCGGCUAACUACGUG